GUUUUUACCCCAUUUCAGAGGGCUCUGGAUCACCUGUGAUCCCCCUGGGGGUUCCUCUAGGACCAAGAAACCUCAUAAAUGUUACCGAAGAAAAGAAAACCCCUACUGUGCAUGCAUACUCACAUCAACACCCCGCUGCGCUCACACAUGCUGUGUAAACACACACACACUCACCUUCAGGCUGUCCUUCCCAGCCUUAGAGGGAGUCGCGUCUGAGUAGAGCUGUCAGGCCUCUGUGAAGUCUCCUUGACCCAAGUCCCUCUGUGAGCAAGAAAGGCAGAGUCCUCAGAUCCAUCAGCUCCUACCUCUGCC